rnacentral:rRNA from 1 species
UUCCGGUUGAUCCUGCCGGACUGACUGCUAUCGGAUUGAUACUAAGCCAUGCGAGUCAUUGUAGUAAUACAAGGCAGACGGCUCAGUAACGCGUAGUCAACCUAACCUAUGGACGGGGAUAAUCUCGGGAAACUGAGCAUAAUACCCGAUAGAACAUUAUGCCUGGAAUGGUUUAUGUUCCAAAUGAUUUAUCGCCGUAGGAUGGGACUGCGGCCUAUCAGUUUGUUGGUGAGGUAAUGGCCCACCAAGACUAUUACAGGUACGGGCUCUGAGAGGAGUAGCCCGGAGAUGGGUACUGAGACACGGACCCAGGCCCUAUGGGGCGCAGCAGGCGAGAAAACUUUGCAAUGUGCGAAAGCACGACAAGGUUAAUCCGAG